AAUCAACGCUGGCGGCGUGCCUCAGACAUGCAAGUCGAACGCGAAAGUUCCCUUCGGGGAGCAAGUAGAGUGGCGCACGGGUGAGUAACACGUAGGUAAUUUGCCUUCGGGUGGGGAAGUAACAGUCGGAAACGACUGCUAAUACCGCAUAAUGCAGCGGCUCGACAUCGAGACAGUUGUUAAAGCGGGGGAGUCCUUCGGGACCUCGCGCCUGAAGAGAAGCCUGCGGCAGAUUAGCUAGUUGGUGAGGUAAUGGCCCACCAAGGCUACGAUCUGUAACCGGCCUGAGAGGGCGGGUCGGUCACACUGACACUGACAUACGGGUCAGACUCCUACGGGAGGCAGCAGUCGGGAAUUUUGGGUCAAUGGG
rnacentral:rRNA from 1 species